AGAGUUUGAUCCUGGCUCAGGAUGAACGCUGGCGGCGUGCCUAAUACAUGCAAGUCGAACGAGGUGCUCUUGUAGCAAUACUGGAGUAUCCUAGUGGCGAACGGGUGAGUAACGCGUUGGUGACCUACCCCAAAGUGUGGGAUAACAGUCCGAAAGGACUGCUAAUACCGCAUGUGGUCUUCGGGCCUAGAAACCGAUGACUAAAGGAGCAAUUCGCUUUGGGAGGGACCUGCGUCCCAUCAGCUAGUUGGUAGGGUAAUGGCCUACCAAGGCUACGACGGGUAGGGGACCUGAGAGGGUGGCCCCCCACAAUGGAACUGAAACACGGUCCAUACACCUACGGGUGGCAGCAGUAGGGAAUAUUGCACAAUGGGCGAAAGCCUGAUGCAGCAACGCCGCGUGCGCGAUGAAGGCCUUCGGGUCGUAAAGCGCUUUUCUGAGAGAUGAGAAAGGACAGUAUCUCAGGAAUAAGUCUCGGCUAACUACGUGCCAGCAGCCGCGGUAAAACGUAGGAGGCAAGCGUUAUCCGGAUUCACUGGGCGUAAAGCGCGUGCAGGCGGUUCGGUAAGUUGGGCGUGAAAUCUCCUGGCUCAACUAGGAGAGGUCGUCCAAUACUACCGGGCUAGAGAGCGGUAGAGGAAGAUGGAAUUCCCGGUGUAGCGGUGGAAUGCGCAGAUAUCGGGAGGAACACCCGUAGCGAAGGCGGUUCUCUGGGCCAAUACUGACGCUGAGGAGCGAAAGCGUGGGGAGCAAACAGGAUUAGAUACCCUGGUAGUCCACGCUGUAAACGUUGGGCACUAGGUGUGGCGACCCGAUCAACGGUUGCCGUGCCGAAGCUAACGCAUUAAGUGCCCCGCCUGGGGAGUACGGCCGCAAGGCUAAAACUCAAAGGAAUUGACGG
rnacentral:rRNA from 1 species